ACACGUAGGGCGCAAGCGUUGUCCGGAUUUAUUGGGCGUAAAGGGCUCGUAGGCGGUUUCGUAAGUCGGGUGUGAAAACUCAGGGCUCAACCCUGAGACACCACUCGAUACUGCGAUGACUUGAGUCCGGUAGGGGAGCAGGGAAUUCCUGGUGUAGCGGUGAAAUGCGCAGAUAUCAGGAGGAACACCAUUAGCGAAGGCGCUGCUCUGGGCCGGUACUGACGCUGAGGAGCGAAAGCAUGGGGAGCAAACAGGAUUAGAAACCCUAGUAGUCC
rnacentral:rRNA from 1 species